GACGAACGCUGGCGGCGUGCUUAACACAUGCAAGUCGAACGGAGUGGCGAACGGGUGAGUAACACGUGGGUGAUCUGCCUUGCACUUCGGGAUACGAUUGGGAAACUGGGCUUAAUACCGGAUAGUGCAAGAUGAGCUCGCGGCCUAUCAGCUUGUGGGUGGGGUAAUGGCCUACCAAGGCGUCGACGGGUAGCCGGCCUGAGAGGGUGUACGGGCACAUUGGGACUGAGGUACGGCCCAGACGCCGACGGGAGGCAGCAGUGGAGAAUAUUGCACAAUGGGCGGAAGCCUGAUGCAGCGACGCCGCGUGGGGGAUGAAGGCCUUCGGGUUGUAAACUCCUUUCGACAGGGACGCGGUACCUGUAUAAGAAGCACCGGCUAACUACGUGCCAGCAGCCGCGGUAAUUC
rnacentral:rRNA from 1 species